rnacentral:rRNA from 1 species
ACUCGACUGCACGAAGCUGGAAUCNCUAGUAAUCGCGGAUCAGCACGCCGCGGUGAAUACGUUCCCGGGCCUUGUACACACCGCCCGUCACACCAUGGAAGUCUGCAAUGCCCGAAGCCGGUGGCCUAACCACUUAUGUGGAAGGAGCCGUCUAAGGCAGGGCAGAUGACUGGGGUGAAGUCGUAACAAGGUAUC